GUGGGGAAUAUUGGACAAUGGGCGCAAGCCUGAUCCAGCCAUGUCGCGUGAGUGAUGAAGGCCCUAGGGUUGUAAAGCUCUUUCACCGGUGAAGAUAAUGACGGUAACCGGAGAAGAAGCCCCGGCUAACUUCGUGCCAGCAGCCGCGGUAAUACGAAGGGGGCUAGCGUUGUUCGGAAUUACUGGGCGUAAAGCGCACGUAGGCGGGUAUUUAAGUCAGGGGUGAAAUCCCGGAGCUCAACUCCGGAACUGCCUUUGAUACUGGGUACCUAGAGUAUGGAAGAGGUAAGUGGAAUUCCGAGUGUAGAGGUGAAAUUCGUAGAUAUUCGGAGGAACACCAGUGGCGAAGGCGGCUUACUGGUCCAUUACUGACGCUGAGGUGCGAAAGCGUGGGGAGCAAACAGGAUUAGAUACCCUAGUAGUCC
rnacentral:rRNA from 1 species